CAGCAGCCACGGGAAUACAGAGGAUGCAAGCGUUAUCCGGAAUGAUUGGGCGUAAAGCGUGCGCAGGCGGUUAUAUAAGUCAGAUGUGAAAUCCCCGGGCUCAACCUGGGGACUGCAUUUGAGACUGUAUGGCUAGAGUGUGUCAGAGGGGGGUAGAAUUCCACGUGUAGCAGUGAAAUGCGUAGAUAUGUGGAGGAAUACCGAUGGCGAAGGCAGCCCCCUGGGAUAACACUGACGCUCAUGCACGAAAGCGUGGGGAGCGAACAGGAUUAGAUACCCCUGUAGUCCCUGUCUCUUAUAC
rnacentral:rRNA from 1 species